rnacentral:rRNA from 1 species
GAUGAACGCUGGCGGCGUGCCUAAUACAUGCAAGUCGAGCGAACAGAUGAGGAGCUUGCUCCUCUGACGUUAGCGGCGGACGGGUGAGUAACACGUGGAUAACCUACCUAUAAGACUGGGAUAACUUCGGGAAACCGGAGCUAAUACCGGAUAAUAUAUUGAACCACAUGGUUCAAUAGUGAAAGACGGUUUUGCUGUCAUUUAUAGAUGGAUCCGCGCCGCAUUAGCUAGUUGGUAAGGUAACGGCUUACCAAGGCAACGAUGCGUAGCCGACCUGAGAGGGUGAUCGGCCACACUGGAACUGAGACACGGUCCAGACUCCUACGGGAGGCAGCAGUAGGGAAUCUUCCGCAAUGGGCGAAAGCCUGACGGAGCAACGCCGCGUGAGUGAUGAAGGUCUUCGGAUCGUAAAACUCUGUUAUUAGGGAAGAACAAAUGUGUAAGUAACUAUGCACGUCUUGACGGUACCUAAUCAGAAAGCCACGGCUAACUACGUG